rnacentral:rRNA from 1 species
CAGCAGCCGCCGCGGUAAUACGAAGGGGGCUAGCGUUGCUCGGAAUGACUGGGCGUAAAGGGCGCGUAGGCGGCUGACACAGUCAGAUGUGAAAUUCCUGGGCUCAACCUGGGGACUGCAUUUGAGACGUGUUGGCUUGAGUGGAGAAGAGGGUCGUGGAAUUUCCAGUGUAGAGGUGAAAUUCGUAGAUAUUGGAAAGAACGCCGGUGGCGAAGGCGGCGACCUGGUCUUUAACUGACGCUGAGGCGCGAAAGCGUGGGGAGCAAACAGGAUUAGAUACCCGUGUAGUCCCUGUCUCUUAUAC